rnacentral:rRNA from 1 species
GAAAUUGUGUCCUCGUCCGCCGGUUCGUCGCUCGCGACGCCAACUGGCGCGCACGCUGGACGUCCAGCCGGUACAACGAACUCGCCUACGGGGUGCUCUUCAUUGAGUGUCCAGGCGGGGGCCGGCAACGUUACUUUGAACAAAUUAAAGUGCUUAAAGCAGGCUAAAUUGCGCUCGCAUACACGCGCAUGGAAUAAUCGAAUAGGACCUCCGUUCUAUUUUGUUGGGUUUUUGUGGAACGACAGACGGAGGUAAUGAUCAAUGGGUGCGGAUGGGGGCAUUCGUAUUGCGACGUUAGAGGUGAAAUUCUUGGAUCGUCGCAAGACGGACUUAAGCGAAAGCAUUUGCCAAAAACGCUUUCAUCGAUCAAGAACGAAAGUUAGAGGUUCGAAGGCGAUCAGAUACCGCCCUAGUUCUAACCAUAAACUAUGCCAGCUAGCGAUCCGCCGAAGUUACUUCUAUGACUCGGCGGGCAGCUUCCGGGAAACCAAAGCUUUCGGGUUCCGGGGGAAGUAUGGUUGCAAAGCUGAAACUUAAAGGAAUUGACGGAAGGGCACCACCAGGAGUGGAGCCUGCGGCUUAAUUUGACUCAACACGGGAAACCUCACCAGGCCCGGACACCGGAAGGAUUGACAGAUUGAGAGCUCUUUCUUGAUUCGGUGGGUGGUGGUGCAUGGCCGUUCUUAGUUGGUGGAGCGAUUUGUCUGGUUAAU